rnacentral:lncRNA from 1 species
UUUGAGUCUCGGAAUAAACAUAUUUUUUUUUCUUUAAAAAACAUAUAUAUAUAUCAAAACGACAUCGUCUUAUCUUGUUAACGGUUGACUAACUUCUGUUGGAGUUAAUGCAGAUUUAUGUACGUUUUAAGAAGUUCAUGUAGUUUUUCUUAAAUUAUAAUUAAGUUGAGGUCGGUUUUAGCAUUGACCAUUUGUUCGGGUCCUAUUUGGCACGACUGAGAGUGUUGGGGUCGAAAUUGGCACAUUUCCUCGUAUAUCAAAACGACAUCGUUUUAUCUUGUUAGUAAUUGACUAACUUCUGUUAGAGUCAAUGUAGAUUUAAGCACGUUUUAAGAAGUUUAGGUAGUUUUUUCGAAUUGUAAUUGAGUUGAGAUCGUAUUUGGCACUGAUCAAUUGUCCGGGUCGUAUUUGGCACGACCUAAA